rnacentral:rRNA from 1 species
GUGGGGAAUCUUCCGCAAUGGGCGAAAGCCUGACGGAGCAACGCCGCGUGAGUGAAGAAGGGUUUCGGCUCGUAAAGCUCUGUUGACGGGGACGAAUGUGCGGGAUGCGAAUAGUUUCCUGCAAUGACGGUACCCGUCGAGGAAGCCACGGCUAACUACGUGCCAGCAGCCGCGGUAAUACGUAGGUGGCGAGCGUUGUCCGGAAUUAUUGGGCGUAAAGGGAGCGCAGGCGGGAAGGCAAGUCAGUCUUAAAAGUGCGGGGCUCAACCCCGUGAUGGGAUUGAAACUGUCUUUCUUGAGUGCAGGAGAGGAAAGCGGAAUUCCUAGUGUAGCGGUGAAAUGCGUAGAUAUUAGGAGGAACACCAGUGGCGAAGGCGGCUUUCUGGACUGUAACUGACGCUGAGGCUCGAAAGCGUGGGGAGCGAACAGG